CUUGAUUGGGUGAAGUAAUAUAGCAUCAUUUACCUUUGUAGGUUUAUGCUGCUUGUAAUUGUAACUCCAGAGUUCUUGAAAUUAAAGAUAACAAAUAACUUUAUUAAUACAACUCCUAUGUAAUCAUACAUUAAAGAGUGCAGUACUGUGGCGGCAUAAUAAGUUACAUAGCUAGGUGCAAUAAUCUCUUAACCAACAAAUUUUCAUCAAUAUAAUUUAUUAGUUCGUAAACAUAUAAUGCAGCAACAUUUUAUCUCUUUAACACAAAGCACAUGCGAUCACUUUUUGUUUCACCUUUAUACAUUUAAAUGCUUUAAGAAAGAGCAGUUGCCCAGGAAUAUGAUUCCGUCUAAAAAUUAUUCAAGUAUUUUUACA
rnacentral:misc_RNA from 1 species